UACAUGGGGUGCAAACGUUGCUCGGAAUCAUUGGGCGUAAAGCGCGCGUAGGCGGUUGCUUAAGUCGGAUGUGAAAGCCCUCGGCUUAACUGAGGAAGUGCAUCCGAAACUGAGCAGCUAGAGUACGAAAGAGGGUCGCGGAAUUCCCGGUGUAGAGGUGAAAUUCGUAGAUAUCGGGAGGAACACCGGUGGCGAAGGCGGCGACCUGGGUCGAGACUGACGCUGAGGCGCGAAAGCGUGGGGAGCAACAGG
rnacentral:rRNA from 1 species